AUUUGGCUUAGCGACAAACGUCAAAUUCAUAUCGAACAUGAACUAAGUGUAUUGAGCCAAGAAAAAUUAUCCACAAUGGAUUAUUAUGAAAUAAACCAAUAACAGCGGAAAUGAAUGAAAAACACAGGAAGUCAGUUCCUUAAGUUUACAAUAUCGGACAAUUCCAGACAGUAUUUAAUGAAUCCACCUGAGUUACCAAAUGCAAUGGUUAAAAAGACUUUUCCCAUAAAAGUUCGGAGUCGUCAACUUUUUUUAGGCUUCUUUACCCCCGUUUGGAAGUCAUGCGGAUCGGACAAUGAUAGAACAUAGAACAUAGAAAUAAACAAAUUAACUUGGCAAUUCCAUAGAGAAAUUUGCAAAAAAGCUUUGAAAGCAAUGAAAAAAAAACUGUAAAGUUAUUGCCCGUCGAUAUUACAGAUACGAACUUUCGGACUACUGAAUUAUGUGUUAAUUAAACGCAUAAAAACAAAUUUCAGAUUGGCAUCCGCACCUCAUGAUAAUUCGCUUUGUGCCGAACGUCAAUUUUGUCUCCUAUUUUCAACAUUAAUAAUACGUUGGAUGCAUUGUAUGCAGCUUCCUGUGAAGAUAAGGCGCCAUUUCAAUAUACCUCCUUAUCAGGAGGACGAAAACACAGCUAAAGGGAGCGCAAGAGGAAUAUGCAGCAGCAAACCGUCGAAAACCAUACUAUGCUUUUAUGGCUUGUAAAAUAUUUAUUUUAUUAAAAAAAUUUUAAAUCUCUUGCU